GCUGGUGUAGCUCAAUGGUAGAGCUAUGGAUUUGUAAUCCGUAGGUUGGGGGUUCAAGUCCCUUCAUCAGCU
rnacentral:tRNA from 1 species